rnacentral:rRNA from 1 species
AGAACGAACGCUGGCGGCAUGCCUAACACAUGCAAGUCGAACGUGAUCCAGGCUUCGGCCUGGUGAAAGUGGCAGACGGGUGAGUAACGCGUGGGAACCUGCCCUGUGGUAGGGAAUAACCGUGGGAAACUGCGGCUAAUACCCUAUGAGUCCUUCGGGAGAAAGAUUUAUCGCCAUAGGAGGGCCCGCGUCGGAUUAGGUAGUUGGUGGGGUAACGGCCUACCAAGCCUUCGAUCCGUAGCU